GAAUUAGGGUUCGAUUCCGGAGAGGGAGCCUGAGAAACGGCUACCACAUCUAAGGAAGGCAGCAGGCGCGCAAAUUACCCAAUCCCGACUCGGGGAGGUAGUGACAAUAAAUAACAAUGCUGGGCUAUUGUAGUCUGGCAAUUGGAAUGAGUACAAUCUAAAUCCCUUAACGAGGAACAAUUGGAGGGCAAGUCUGGUGCCAGCAGCCGCGGUAAUUCCAGCUCCAAUAGCGUAUAUUAAAGUUGUUGCAGUUAAAAAGCUCGUAGUUGGAUUUCGGGGAGGCCUGGCUGGUC
rnacentral:rRNA from 1 species